rnacentral:tRNA from 1 species
GGCGACGUAGCCAAGCAGUUAAGGCGGCGGUCUGCAAAACCGCUAUUCUCGGGUGCAAAUCCCGACGUCGCCU